GGGCAGUUAGCUCAGCGGUAGAGCACUUCCUUGACAUGGAAGGGGUCACAGGUUCGAUCCCUGUACUGCCCACCA
rnacentral:tRNA from 1 species